AGCUACCAUUUGAUUUUUAUGGGGGGGCUAGGAUGAAAAAAUGUGUCCUGCAUUUUUUUUAGCUGUAAUCUCUGUCCUGCCUUUUUAUUUUUCACUCUGUUCGGUCCUGCCUUUUUUUUUUUAGUUUAUCCUGACUUUUUUUUACCUAAAUUGUCGUCCUGACUUUUUUUUUUUGCAAGUGUCUCAUCCUGCCUUUUUUUUUAUUACUCAAACUCCUGUCCUGCUAUUUUUUUUUCAAAUUUCAUCCUAGCCCCCCCCCCCCCCAUAAAAAUCAAAUGGUAGCUCCC
rnacentral:lncRNA from 1 species